CUUYUUUGAAGCCUUCCACACAGCGACUCUAACCGUGUGUGCAGUCUAGAAAUAGGCAACGUUACCCCUGUGCUGGAACACUACUUAACGGUGGUGGAUCAGCAGCCAGUUUGUCCUGGUCCACAGAUUAGGUGGUGGCGGUCCCCGGGAAUGCCCGUGGGAUGAAGAUAUAAUCGGUCCCCAUCGCUGUCGAUGGUGGAGCCACGUUCCGUAGGUGAACCUGCGGAAGGAUCAUUAUCGAGUUAGGGUCCUCCGGGCCCCAUCUCCAACCCUUGUCUAUCUCACCAUGUUGCUUUGGCGGGCCCGUCUUUCCACCGGACCGCCGGAGGGUCUGCCCUCUGGCCCGCGCCCGUCAGUAGCCCCCAUAAAUUCGUCUAACAGUGGAUGUCUAAGUUUGAAAAUAAUAACUAAAACUUUCAACAACGGAUCUCUUGGUUCUGGSAUCCAUGAARAACSCMGCGAAAUGSGAUAAGUAAUGSGAAUUGSARAAUUCCSUGAGUCAUCGAAUCUUUGAACGCACMUUGSGCCCUUUGGKAUUCCGAGGGGCAUGSCUGGUCNARCGKCAUUAUCAACCCUCAAGCCCGGCUUGGUGUUGGGUCCCACCGUUUUGAAAAAAAGGUGGACCCGAAAGAGAAUGGCAGAGCCUGCGUGGACCCUGGAUGCAAUGAGCUUUUAAGCACGCUUCCGGACGGUCCUCCGGCUUGGUCUUAACCAAAUCUCCUCAGAUUGACCUCGGAUCAGGUAAGGAUACCCGCUGAACUUAAGCAUAUCAAUAAGCGGAGGAAAAGAAACCAACAGGGAUUGCCUCAGUAACGGCGAGUGAAGCGGCAACAGCUCAAAUUUGAAAUCUGGCUCCUCUGGGGGUCCGAGUUGUAAUUUGUAGAGGAUGCUUCGGGUAAGGUUACGGUCUAAUUUGCUUGGAACAGCGAGUCAUAGAGGGUGAGAAUCCCGUCUUGGACCGUGAGCCGCGCCCGUGUGAAGCUCCUUCGACGAGUCGAGUUGUUUGGGAAUGCAGCUCUAAAUGGGUGGUAAAUUUCAUCUAAAGCUAAAUAUUGGCCAGAGACCGAUAGCGCACAAGUAGAGUGAUCGAAAGAUGAAAAGCACUUUGAAAAGAGAGUUAAACAGUAUGUGAAAUUGUUGAAAGGGAAGCGCUUGCAAUCAGACUUGCGUGUAACGGUUCCCCGGGUCUCUUUUGACCCGGUUACUCCGUUAUAUCCAGGCCAACAUCGGUUCAGGUGGUCGGUGAAAGACCCCGGGAAUGUAUCCACCUUCGGGUCGACUUAUAGCCCGGGGUGUAAUGCGGCCCACCCGGACCGAGGAACG
rnacentral:rRNA from 1 species